GGCUGCAGAUUUGGGGGUCCCCCCUCACCCCUAUUCUUUCCUCCCCCCCUCCCCAGAUGAUCAAAACACGCAGCUCCCGGGUCUCGGCGUUGGCAGAGUUUGUGCGGUCGGUGCACCCCUACGAAGUGGCCGAGGUGAUCUCCGUCCCCAUCCAGCAGGGGAACCCCCCCUACCUGCGAUGGGUGGAAGAGGCCGUGGACCCCGAGUGAGGAGGGGCCCUUGACCCGCCUGGGCCCACAAUAAAGGCCUCCCCCCUCCCCGGGGUGGGGCAGUGCCAGGC